CUGGCCCAUGGCCCUCAGGUUCUCUUCUUCGGAGGGAUAGCAGAGAAGAGAACCUGCUCACCAAGAGCUGCUAGCCCACGUGCUUUUGAAAAGGUCCUUCCCUACAGCUAACUCCAUUGAGAGUCUGGUGAUUGACAGGUACCCAUCACAAGGGGCCACAUUCUAUGGAGCAAGCUCUUUCUCCAUCUGAGGAAAUGUUAAGGCCGCCAGCCGCCACAGCUCCCUCCGAACAUCACAGACGUCAGGGGAGCAAUGAUACCCGGUGUCUGUCUGUCCUGUACAUGCUGUUCUUUACUGUCUCCUUCGUUCUUUAAUCUGAUGGGGGAGGAAACACAGCCUCAGGUCAGCCUUCAGCACUGUACCUGGGAGUGCCAGCCCAGACGAGAAAAUCAAGAAGGAUAAGUCAUGCAUCUUGGUUUUGAAAGCAAAUCAAAAGGGUCACAAGGUGGAGAUAGGAGUAGGACAAGAGGAAGGAAAUACCCGGGCGUGAGCCUUGCUCUGGAGGGGAGGAGGCCCCAUGGUAAAGGCACGGGAUGAACACUGCCAAGGAGGGUCUUCGCAUAUGGUCGCUGCUGAACCCGGAGCGUGGGCACUGCCUGGCCUCACAGAUUCACACCUUUAGCGACCAGUCUGUUCUCG
rnacentral:lncRNA from 1 species